rnacentral:rRNA from 1 species
GACGAACGCUGGCGGCGUGCUUAACACAUGCAAGUCGAACGGAAAGGCCCUGCUUUUGUGGGGUGCUCGAGUGGCGAACGGGUGAGUAACACGUGAGUAACCUGCCCUUGACUUUGGGGUAACUUCAGGAAACUGGGGCUAAUACCGGAUAGGAGCUCCUGCUGCAUGGUGGGGGUUGGAAAGUUUCGGCGGUUGGGGAUGGACUCGCGGCUUAUCAGCUUGUUGGUGGGGUAGUGGCUUACCAAGGCUUUGACGGGUAGCCGGCCUGAGAGGGUGACCGGCCACAUUGGGAAUGGGAUACGGGCCAGAAUCCUACGGGAGGCAGGAGUGGGGAAUAAUGCACAAUGGGCGGAAGCCUGAUGGAGCAACGCCGCGUGCGGGAUGACGGCCUUCGGGUUGUAAACCGCUUUCGCCUGUGACGAAGCGUGAGUGACGGUAAUGGGUAAAGAAGCACCGGCUAACUACGUG